CUGAUACAAUGAUGAUCCCAUAGUUCAGCUGAAUUCUGUGAUGAACAAACUGCUUUGUCUUUCGCUCCUAGCUGAUGUAUCCU